rnacentral:tRNA from 1 species
GUCAGAAUGGCCGAGCGGUCCAAGGCGCUGCGUUCAGGUCGCAGUCCGGUCUUCCGGGCGUGGGUUCGAAUCCCACUCCUGACA